AACGCACGAGACCUGCGGACCUGCGAGGGAUCAUUACAUGGCGGAGGAGGUGGGCACCUAGUAAAACAAAACCCUAGGUGUGUUGCCUACCACGCUUUCUACCCUUGUCUAUUUGCACCUUUUGUCGUUCCCUCGGUGGGUCUUGAACCUGCCGGCGGCAACUUUCAAAAACCUUUUGUAGUUAGUAUCUAAUUCUUCUGAUCAAAUAUUCAAUCGUUACAACUUUUAACAAUGGAUCUC
rnacentral:misc_RNA from 1 species